AUUCCUGUACUUCUGGUUACUGCGAUGGAGGGACGGAGAAGGCUAGGCCAGCUUGGCGUUGGUUGUCCAAGUUUAAGGUGGUAGGCUGAAAUCUUAGGUAAAUCCGGGGUUUCAAGGCCGAGAGCUGAUGACGAGUCGUCUUUUAGAUGACGAAGUGGUUGAUGCCAUGCUUCCAAGAAAAGCUUCUAAGCUUCAGGUAACCAGGAACCGUACCCCAAACCGACACAGGUGGUCGGGUAGAGAAUACCAAGGCGCUUGAGAGAACUCGGGUGAAGGAACUAGGCAAAAUGGCACCGUAACUUCGGGAGAAGGUGCGCCGGCUAGGGUGAAGGAUUUACUCCGUAAGCUCUGGCUGGUCGAAGAUACCAGGCCGCUGCGACUGUUUAUUAAAAACACAGCACUCUGCAAACACGAAAGUGGACGUAUAGGGUGUGACGCCUGCCCGGUGCCGGAAGGUUAAUUGAUGGGGUUAGCGCAAGCGAAGCUCUUGAUCGAAGCCCCGGUAAACGGCGGCCGUAACUAUAACGGUCCUAAGGUAGCGAAAUUCCUUGUCGGGUAAGUUCCGACCUGCACGAAUGGCGUAACGAUGGCGGCGCUGUCUCCACCCGAGACUCAGUGAAAUUGAAAUCGCUGUGAAGAUGCAGUGUAUCCGCGGCUAGACGGAAAGACCCCGUGAACCUUUACUGUAGCUUUGCACUGGACUUUGAGCCUGCUUGUGUAGGAUAGGUGGGAGGCUUUGAAGCGUGGACGCCAGUUCGCGUGGAGCCAUCCUUGAAAUACCACCCUGGCAUGCUUGAGGUUCUAACUCUGGUCCGUGAUCCGGAUCGAGGACAGUGUAUGGUGGGCAGUUUGACUGGGGCGGUCUCCUCCUAAAGAGUAACGGAGGAGUACGAAGGUGCGCUCAGACCGGUCGGAAAUCGGUCGCAGAGUAUAAAGGCAAAAGCGCGCUUGACUGCGAGACAGACACGUCGAGCAGGUACGAAAGUAGGUCUUAGUGAUCCGGUGGUUCUGUAUGGAAGGGCCAUCGCUCAACGGAUAAAAGGUACUCCGGGGAUAACAGGCUGAUACCGCCCAAGAGUUCAUAUCGACGGCGGUGUUUGGCACCUCGAUGUCGGCUCAUCACAUCCUGGGGCUGAAGCCGGUCCCAAGGGUAUGGCUGUUCGCCAUUUAAAGUGGUACGCGAGCUGGGUUUAGAACGUCGUGAGACAGUUCGGUCCCUAUCUGCCGUGGACGUUUGAGAUUUGAGAGGGGCUGCUCCUAGUACGAGAGGACCGGAGUGGACGAACCUCUGGUGUUCCGGUUGUCACGCCAGUGGCAUUGCCGGGUAGCUAUGUUCGGAAAAGAUAACCGCUGAAAGCAUCUAAGCGGGAAACUUGCCUCAAGAUGAGAUCUCACUGGGAACUUGAUUCCCCUGAAGGGCCGUCGAAGACUACGACGUUGAUAGGCUGGGUGUGUAAGCGUUGUGAGGCGUUGAGCUAACCAGUACUAAUUGCCCGUGAGGCUUGACCAU
rnacentral:rRNA from 1 species